UGCGCAGGCGGUUUUGUAAGACAGAGGUGAAAUCCCCGGGCUCAACCUGGGAACUGCCUUUGUGACUGCAAGGCUGGAGUACGGCAGAGGGGGAUGGAAUUCCGCGUGUAGCAGUGAAAUGCGUAGAUAUGCGGAGGAACACCGAUGGCGAAGGCAAUCCCCUGGGCCUGUACUGACGCUCAUGACAAGACUGGGGAGCAAACA
rnacentral:rRNA from 1 species